GGCCUGGUGGUGUAAUGGUUAACACGCCUGCUCUACUUAUAUUAGUGCAUGAGAAGGAUAUUUACAGCAGGAGGCCCCUUGUUCGAAUCAAGGCCAGGUGG